GACGGAGGGUGCAAGCGUUGUUCGGAAUUACUGGGCGUAAAGCGCGUGUAGGCGGUCCGAUAAGUCGAGUGUGAAAGCCCGAGGCCCAACCUCGGAAGUGCAUUCGAAACUGUCGGGCUUGAGUACGGGAGAGGGAAGUGGAAUUCCAGGUGUAGCAGUGAAAUGCGUAGAUAUCUGGAAGAACACCAGUGGCGAAGGCGACUCACUGGACAUGUAUUGACGCUGAGGUGCGAAAGCGUGGGGAGCAAAC
rnacentral:rRNA from 1 species